UAAGCAGGAAGCAGCCAGCAUCUCGUCGCUCGAGUAUUAGCCUCUGUGUGAACUGAUCAGGCGACUACUUGAAGGUUACCCAGUCUGGCCCCAGUGGCUUCGUUCAAACUCUAACUACAUUUUCAAAAACCUUCCAAGGAUUAUACUGGCGACUACCUGGAGGCUGGCCCUGGUGGCUUCGUUUCGCACUAGCCUCGCUCCUAGGAUCUCCCCAGGAAGGAUCUUCCACACACACCUACCCGACGCCGAACUCUGGAACUUCCCCGGCUGGCUGCUUCCUGACCCGGAUUCUCCAGAGACCAUUCAACCUAACCUGUCCACCCUCCACCUCUCAGCUGAUGCUUCGCCUGCACUCCAAGCUCUAACCCAAGAAACUAAGAAAUCAUUGGACGUACCAUUGUCUCCAUAUUCACUUCUUCUCCAGUCCGAAUCCCUCUCCUCCUGGCGGAUUGCCUACUCCCUCCUACUAAGAGACAUUUCACAUUUAAGUUCCGGUUUCGUUUACUGUGCCACUUACCUGUCGUUGUUCCUUACAGUUGUUCCUGCGCACCAUACCGAUCCUUCCUCGACAUAGAGGAGUGGAGACACUGGUUAGAGGGUGCCGUUCACCCUAUUUUAGUCUGGACCGACUACAAGAACUUGGCUUAUUUACAGGCUGCUAAAAGACUUAACCCAAGACAAGCCCGUUGGUCUCUUUACUUUUCUCGGUUUAAUCUAACCAUCUCUUUCAGACCUGGGAGUAAGAACUCCAAGCCUGAUGCUCUUUCCUCGGCAGUUCGCACCAGAUGACUCUGAGAAGCUACCUGAACCUAUUGUGCCCCCUGCCUGGACCAUCGGAUCUGUGUCUUGGGAGAUUCAGGAACUGGUCUCCUGAGCACUAAGAACUGAGCCUGACCCUGGUACGGGGCCAACCAACCGUACUUAUGUCCCUGCUGCGGUAAGGUCUAGGGUUAUUCAGUGGUUCCACACGGCUAGGUUCUCUGCACAUCCCUAAGCGUCCCUGGUUACAUUUAGCUUUAGAUUUUGUAACUGGGCUACCCACUUCCAAGGGUAUGACAGUCAUUUUGUCUAUUGUUGACCGUUUCUCCAAGGCUUGUCACUUAGUGCCUCUUGGAAAGGUUCCCUCUGCGUUGAAAACUGCCAAACUUUUGGUCAAGCACGUUUUUCGCUUACACGGUAUACCACAGGAUAUUCUCUCUGACCGAAGGCCUCAGUUUAUUUCCCAGGUUUGGCGACAGUUUUCUCAGUUUUAGGAGCCAAGGUACCACUGACUUCAGGCCACCAUCCCCAAUCUAACGGACAAGUAGAGAGACACAACCAGCAGCUCGAGUCCACACUUAGGUGUGUAACCUCCUCUGCCCCGUUAGACUAGGCCGAGCAUCUCCCUUGGGUUGAGUAUGCUAUCAAAUCGCAGGUCUCGUCUGCUACAGGAGUUUCCCCCUUUGAAACCUCAUUAGGGUACCAGCCACCUCUGUUCGCGGCUGACGAGGUCGACGUGGCUGUACCCUCUGUUCGCCAUCAUGUUCGCUGAUGUGAACUGAUGUGGAGACAAACAGUUCAGGCGCUGAAUCGGACUGCGGCCCAGAACAAACGUAUCGCUGACCGCAAGAGACGGCCAGCUCCUGUUUAUCAGCCGGGACAAAGGUUUUGGUUAUCCUCCCGGGACAUCCCUCUCAAGGCCAUGUCAAAGAAGUUAUCACCUAGGUUUAUUGGGCCCUACGUUAUUUAGUCCUUAGUCGGUCCCUCUGCCGUUCGCCUCAGGUUACCUUCCUCUUUACGAGUACACCCUACCUUCCAUGUAUCUCAGGUUAAGCCCAUAAUUGACUGUGGUUCUUGCCCGCCGGCUGAACCCCCUCCGCCCAGCCUGGACCGGUCGGGACACCCGGUUUGGACAGUUUGUAGCAUCCUUGACUCCCGUCGGCGUGGACAGGGCUGGCAGUUUCUGGUGGAUUGGGAGGGUUAUGGUCCCGAGGAUCGUUCUUGGGUUCCUCGAUCUUUUAUUUGUGACCCCACUUUGAUUUCUGAUUUCUUCGCUUCCGAUCCUUCUGGUUCUGGACCGCCAGGUGGUGGUCAUUGAGGGGGGGUAAUGUCGGGGCUGGAGUUUCUGUUGUAUGUUUUUGUCUGUGUUUUUUGACUCCUAGUAGGCGCUACUGCUCAGCAGUGGUGGAGACAGGUGUUUUCCAUCUCUCCUGGAGUACUUAAGCAAGAAGCAGCCAGCAUCUGGUCACUCGAGUAUUAGCCUCUGUGUGAACUGAACAGGCGACUACCUGGAGGUUACCUAGGCUGGCCCUGGUGGCUUCGUUUCGCACUAGCCUCGCUCCUAGGAUCUCCCCAGGAAGGAUCUUCCACACACACCUACCCGACGCCGAACUCUGGAACUUCCCCGGCUGCCUGCUUCCUGACCCGGAUUCUCCAGAGACCAUUCAACCUAACCUGUCCACCCUCCACCUCUCAGCUGAUGCUUCGCCUGCACUCCAAGCUCUAACCCAAGUAACUAAGAAAUCAUUGGACUCACCAUUGUCUCAUAUUCACUUCUUCUCCAGUCCGAAUCCCUCUCCUCCUGGCGGAUUGCCUACUCCCUCCUACUAAGAGACAUUUCACAUUUAAGUUCCGGUUUCGUUUACUGUGCCACUUACCUGUCGUUGUUCCUUACAGUUGUUCCUGCACACCAUACCGAUCCAUUCUCCUUAAAUAAACCUUUUUCAAACUUGUGCCCGUUUCCCUUGACUGUGAUUCUGCAUGUGGGUCAGAUCCAUACGUAACACUAUGACAAUUACAGCCUGCAUAUAGAGGCAAUUAACAUAAAAAAUCCCAGAAGAACGUCUCUGAUGGGUGCAGAUAUUUGUGUCUCCUUUUCAGAGCAUCCAAGGUAAUCUUUGCAUCUCCAGAAAACCUUCAAGCAUCAAAUCUUCAUACAGUGUUUGAUAAACAAGGUUCUAAACAUAACUGAAUGCAUUAACAUUUUCAUACAUACUGUCAUAAAAUGGAAAAUAAAGGCAAACCAAAUAAUGCAGCCACAGUUACAUUCAAAGCAGUGUUGUUUUUGGCAGCCAUCUUAGUUUUAGUCAUUUAGUUAUUUUUAUACGUGAUAGUUUUAGUCGAAGAAAACUCAAAAAGGUUUUAGUCACUUUUAGUAAAAGAAAAAAGUGUGUUCUCUAUCUCUGUACUUAGAUUUAGACAGAUUACAGGCAUAAAAGGCAGAAAUGUCCUGUUUUUUGGAUGUUUGACAGACCACCAACUAACAUUUUCACCUAAUCUCAUCAACAAAAGCUCACACAGGUCUUGUCAUGUUUUAGUCCUCAAAGAGCCAUGUUUAUCUCGUCAUGAAAAAAGGACCAUCAACGAAAAAAUGUUGUCAUCGUUAACGAAAACAACACUGUUUCUAAGUCAUAAAACCAAACACUGUUACAUAGAUUAACAUGCGAAGUUCCUCACAAGUCAAAUAAAGAACAAUAUAAAUGUAUAACAUGAUAUACCUGGCUUUGUUUGCCAAUGGUGUAAAACCUGUGCAAACAUGUAAACUGGGUCUCUCACUGGUGGAAGCAGGUAGCUGGAGUUAGCAUGAGAGCUAAAUUACCACAUGGGUGCAAGGUGUAAAUACAUUUAGAAGGUCUGCAUCCGUUUCAAAGCGAACGUGUAAGACCCAGCAACACAACUGACAGACACCAUCGUACUUUCAUUGGAGAGAAAAGGCUAAACAAAUUACUUCAACUCACACUGAAUGCUAAUGUAACAUUACCUGCAUUCUAAAAGUAUUCAUUUACUUGAACUUUUCCACAUUUUGCUUCAUUAUAACCACAAUUUGUUUUCUAAAUGUCAUGCAAUAGACCAACACAAAUGAGUGCAUGAUUAAGAAAUAGAAGGUAAAAUGCUAUAUUUAAGUAUUUUAUCCCCUACCAACUCUCACCACUUCCUGCCUCUGUUCCACAUAGCACGAUGCUGUCACCACCAUAUUUUCCCAUGUGGACGGUGUGCUCUGGGUGUUUUUUUCCACUACACAAACCGUUUUGCAUGCAUAGAAGAAAAUUUAGUUUAUAUUUCAUUGGACCAGAACCAUGUGUCCCCUACAUGGCUUGUGACAAACUUGACUUCCUUAGACGUUUGUUGCCACUCUUCCAUGAAGCCCAGAUUUCUAGAUUACAGGACCACCUGAGCUAUGGACUAGUGCAGCUCCUCUGAAGCCUCUAAUUAAUGCUCUCCUUGCCCAGUCAUACCAUGUCUUGGUAGGCUUGCAGUCGUGCUUUCCUCUUUCCAUUUGCAGAUGAUGAAUUGAACAGUGCUUGAUUAGAUGUUGAAUCUUGGAAUAUUGUUUUAUAACCUAAAGCUGCUUUUGGGGACAGAAUACAAAUGAUUAAUUAGAUUUUUAUUGUGUUAAUUGAAAACCAUGCAUUAUUAAUUAUGUUCUACAUUGGGUUGGUUUUUCACAUAAAAAUCCAAUAGUUUAUCCAAUAAAAUACAUUAAAGCUUGUGGUUGUAACGUGACAGAAUAUGAAAAAAUUGCAGCAGUAUUGAUAAAUUGGCAAGACACUAAAAUGAAGAUUUUUCCUGCAUAUAAAUGAUUUAACAUAUGUAUUUGUGUACUACGUUAUUUCCUACCACUGAUGUGAAAAUGCAGGCUUUAAUUUGUCAUCACAGGAAUUUAUUUAUAAUUAGCUAUUAAGUAACGUUCACACUUUAAUCUUCCAAAUGCUUUCUCCUUUAAGGUGAGAAACAGCUUUACUGUCAAAGAAUGACGUGGAUGCUUAUUGGAACCGAUUGUUCGUUUCUGAGAAAACAGGAGGGGGCAAAGCACAACAGUCGGAUACAAGAAUGGUUAAUUUCUCCCUGGUGUAUACACAGAGCCACAAAGUUUACGGAUUGGCUUGACCUGACUGAGAAGGAGUCGCAGGCGUCAUUUUAUAUAUUUGAUAGCAAACAAUAAAACUUAAGAACCAAUGAAAAUGUACACAGUUUUUUUCUAUUGGAUAAAGCAGGAAUACAUUAAACUUCUGGAAUGGCUGCCACCUUAACCUUUUCAAAACUGGUAGACAAUGCUUAAAAACUGUGUGCUUGUCAAGAAAACCUACAGCUUUAACUUAACUUUGCCAUCUCUGAUGAAAAGAGUGGUUAAAUAUCCAGCCAGAAUAAUGCAUGAACUUUGUUGAUUGCUAUGAAAAUGUGUGGUUCCUUCUCAACUUAGUAGGGGACAUUUAACCAAAUAUUAAUGUUGGUGUAUUUCUAUAUUUAGGUCUGUAUUUACAAUUUUGAAGCUGUGUGAAUGAAAGGUAAUCUACAAUAAAUUAAAUAAUUAGAUAAACAAUACAUUAAUAGAGUGUUGCUUUUAAAAUGUUUUGUUGUAUUAUCAUAGUUUGUACAAAUCCCAGGUUAACUCAGGAGAUUUUAAAGUCAGACAGCCUUGCUUUGGUUUUAUCUGCUGCUGAACCCUUCUUAGAGCUGCUUGCUUAUGACUAUAAGGGGUAUAAUAGUAACACUUUUAGCUCAUUGUGAAGACACACACACCUCCUUCUAUCUUCACAGUAUUAUUGUCACAGUCCUGGAGCUUACUUUAAUUAGGUGGUAUUAAGUGACUGGAGGAAUCUGAGCUAACUAGUGCUUUAAGCACUGAUAAAAAUACCACACAUUUUUCAGUUCACAUGAUGUGGUUUAGAUGUUCAAAUGUUCCUCAGAUGUAGGUUUCUUUAUCUCAGAUUGUUGUCAAAGAACCAAGAGCUUUAAGACACGGAGAGGUAGUUAAUUUUUUUCUG